AUUGAACGCUGGCGGCAGGCCUAACACAUGCAAGUCGAACGAGUGGCGGACGGGUGAGUAAUGUCUGGGAAACUGCCUGAUGGAGGGGGAUAACUACUGGAAACGGUAGCUAAUACCGCAUACAAUAAGAUGUGUCCAGAUGGGAUUAGCUUGUUGGUGGGGUAACGGCUCCCCAAGGCGACGAUCCCUAGCUGGUCUGACAGGAUGACCAGCCACACUGGAAUGGAGACACGGUCCAGACUCCACCGGGAGGCAGCAUUGGGGAAUAGUGCACAAUGGGCGCAAGCCUGAUGCAGCCAUGCCGGGUGGAUGAAGAAGGCCUUCGGGUUGUAAAGUACUUUCAGCGGGGAGGCGUUACCCGCAGAAGAAGCACCGGCUAACUCCGUGCCAGCAGCCGCGGUAAUAC
rnacentral:rRNA from 1 species